GGCUGAGGUGUGCGCCGGCCCAGCCGCGUCCCCUGCGGUUCCCCACUCCCUCCGUAGCAGAGCCUGAUGGCGGGCUCGAAAGAGACGGUGCAGGGAGCUGCCUCCUUAUCUCGCUCUUCGCUGCCGGUUUAACUCCUUCCUGCAGCCCAGCACAGGUUCCUCGAGCCGAGGAUUGUUUUCUGUUUGGAAACCGGAGAAGGGGGGAGGCUAUCGAGCUCCGAAGAUUUAACCCUUUGCCAGCGGAGGCUUGAGGUGCGUAAGCACAAAAGGAGAUCGCGAAAGCCUUGGGCUGAAAAAAAAACACAACAAAACAAAACAAAAACCCCAACCAACACGUGCCCAGCGAGAAGUCAGUAAAAUGCACCGUUACACACACAGCGACGUGGUUUGGCUUUGGGAAAGAGGGGGGGAAAAAAAAGAGACGUAGCCUCUCUCUCCACUGCCCCCCCGGCUCUGCCAGCCCCUCGCCUGGUGCCUGCAGUUGCACUCUGAGUAAA